rnacentral:rRNA from 1 species
UACAGAGGUCCCGAGCGUUGUUCGGAUUCAUUGGGCGUAAAGGGUGCGUAGGCGGCGGGGUAAGUCUGAUGUGAAAUCCUGGGGCUCAACCCCAGAACUGCAUUGGAUACUGCCUUGCUAGAGUACUGGAGAGGAAACUGGAAUUUACGGUGUAGCAGUGAAAUGCGUAGAGAUCGUAAGGAAGACCAGUGGCGAAGGCGAGUUUCUGGACAGUUCCUGACGCUGAGGCACGAAGGUCAGGGGAGCAAACGGG